UACGAGGGGGGCGAGCGUUGUUCGGAAUUAUUGGGCGUAAAGGGUGCGUAGGCGGUUUGGUAAGUCUCUUGUGAAAUCUCUGGGCUCAACUCAGAGUCUGCAAGGGAAACUGCCGGGCUUGAGUAUGGGAGAGGUGAGUGGAAUUCCUGGUGUAGCGGUGAAAUGCGCAGAUAUCAGGAGGAACACCGGUGGCGAAGGCGGGUCUCUGGGCCGAUAUUGACGCUGAGGAGCGAAAGCGUGGGGAGCGAACAGG
rnacentral:rRNA from 1 species